rnacentral:misc_RNA from 1 species
GGCUAAUGAGCCUAGUCCUAUCUGGCUUAGACUUGGCUCGUUUAUUAAACAAGCUUUAAAAGUAAUCUUGAGUUUGGCUUAUUAACCAUAAUGAACAAUCUCAAGCAAGCUUUUAUUGAACUGAACUCCAAGUAACUCACAAGCAAAUAUUUUUGAAAGCGUAGCUCACGGCAUGAUUUUAUAGUGGACGGCCAACUGGAAUUAGAUGAACAAACUAAAAAGCCAAGAAAAAAACUGGAAGAAAAAAAAGACGAUGAACCAACCCACAGAGCUCUCAUAUCAGUUUAUAUUCAAAUGGAAAUUUUAUGAUGCUUAAAAGAGAGACAUGCAAGCUAAAGUAUACUUAAAAGUUUUCUCAUUUAAUGAAGUGUCCUUAUAAUUAACCUUGAAGAAAGAAGAUCAACAACAAAAAUCCAUUCAAAGCGUGUCUAAAUAAAUCACACAUCCAACUCCUUGAUAAGUGCAAUCAUGCACUAUAGUUUAUGAGCACUGUUACUUUCCAGAAGAACAUAAAUAUAAAUUGCAAUAUUGUUGAACAACUCAGCCAGGAAUGAAGAAAGUUCUAAUAAAUAUUGAUACUGUUUAGUGACUAAUACAAUUUAAAUUGAUGAAUUCAAAAGAAAGAUGACAUACCGU